UACGUAGGGUGCGAGCGUUAAUCGGAAUUACUGGGCGUAAAGGGCGCGUAGGCGGCCAUCUAAGUCAGACGUGAAAUCCCCCGGCUUAACCUGGGAACUGCGUCUGAUACUGGACGGCCUGAGUUUGGGAGAGGGAUGCAGAAUUCCAGGUGUAGCGGUGAAAUGCGUAGAUAUCUGGAGGAAUACCGGUGGCGAAGGCGGCAUCCUGGACCAACACUGACGCUGAGGCGCGAAAGCUAGGGGAGCAAACAGG
rnacentral:rRNA from 1 species